UACGUAGGUGACAAGCGUUGUCCGGAUUUACUGGGCGUAAAGAGCGCGCAGGCGGUCGAUCAAGUCGAGUAUGAAAGCCCCCGGCUCAACUGGGGAGGGUCAUUCGAUACUGAUCGACUCGAAGGCAGGAGAGGGUAAUGGAAUUCCCGGUGUAGUGGUGGAAUGCGUAGAUAUCGGGAGGAACACCAGUGGCGAAGGCGGUUACCUGGAGCUUUGCUGACGCUGAUGCGCGAAAGCGUGGGGAGCGAUCCGG
rnacentral:rRNA from 1 species